rnacentral:rRNA from 1 species
UACGGGAGGGUGCGAGCGUUGUCCGGAAUCACUGGGCGUAAAGGGCGCGUAGGCGGUCCGGUAAGCGCGUGGUGAAAGCCCGGGGCUCAACCCCGGGUCGGCCGUGCGGACUGCGGGACUCGAGCACUGUAGAGGCGGGCGGAAUUCCGGGUGUAGCGGUGGAAUGCGUAGAGAGUCCGGAAGAACACCGGUGGCGAAGGCGGCCCGCUGGGCGAGGAUGCUGACGCUGAGGCCGCGAAGGCGUGGGGAGCGAACGGG